rnacentral:rRNA from 1 species
CUACGGGUGGCUCCAGUGAGGAAUAUUGGACAAUGGGCGCAAGCCUGAUCCAGCAAUGCCGCGUGAGUGAAGACGGCCUUAGGGUUGUAAAACUCUUUCGCUAGGGAAGAUAAUGACUGUACCUAGUAAAGAAGUCCCGGCUAACUCCGUGCCAGCAGCCGCGGUAAUACGGAGGGGACUAGCGUUGUUCGGAAUUACUGGGCGUAAAGAGUUCGUAGGCGGACUGACAAGUUAGAGGUGAAAUCCCAGGGCUCAACCCUGGAACUGCCUUUAAAACUGUCAGUCUAGAGACCGGAAGAGGUUAGGGGAAUACCUAGUGUAGAGGUGAAAUUCGUAGAUAUUAGGUGGAACACCAGUGGCGAAGGCGCCUAACUGGUCCGGUACUGACGCUGAGGUGCGAAAGCGUGGGGAGCAAACAGGAUUAGAUACCCUCGUAGUC